GUAGAGAAGAUGGCGCCACUAUAAACACUUGCCUGCACCAUGACGGGCUGGAGCCGAAUACCAUCCAGGCCCCUCAAGCAAGCCUACCGGCGCAAUAGGCAUAGACGUAAAAAAAAAAAUAGUAGGAGCAGGUGCAGGCUGUGUAGCUUCCUGCAGACAUUUCUUUACGUACACUUGCGAGAAAAAAUAGUAAAGAUAUGAUCGUCAUUAGUACAAUUGCCUCUUCAUUAAUGGUAGACAUUUCAACAUUAUUUUUUUUCUCAGCACCCAGGGGGCAGGGGCGCUGCUCUCGGAGACCUCACCCCUUCCUAAAAAAUGGAUAGGCUACUGUCCUGUAAUCAUUGAGUGAUUGUCUAACCUGAGUCUGCUCUCCGUUAUUAUAUUGCUUCCCUUUGCUUCCGAAAUUCUGUCCGUGAUGCACCUAAUGGUGGUGAGUUACCCCUGUCUUUAAUCUAAAAAAAUGAAGAUGCAAACGUGUGCAGCUUCAUACAUGAGCGAUAAAUCAACAAGUGGAUGCGUUCGUUUGGUAUUGAGAACAUCUUAAAAGCUUCCGUUCAUGCCUCAGCGGCCUGUAUGCACAGCCACCCCUGGGAUGAGCGGCGAGGGGAGGCCGAGCGGCUUACGGCAGUGAGUAAAUGAGGGGAAAGCAAUGAUCCGACCCCCACACACGGCGCAGAUUACUGCCGCCCACGCUGCCAAGUGUUAACAGCACGCGAGACUGAUUAAAACAUAAAUAUUAACAAUCAUGUAUAUAUCAACGUGUGGUAAGACGGGGGCCGAAGCUGAUGCCUCAAGGAGCCAGGCUGGGGCAGGGAGGGGCCGGGGGAGCAUGAGUUGGACAGGGACUGACGGCCACCUCGCGAUCCAACACCGAAAAGCUUGUCCCUGGCAGGUGAUCAUCCUACAUCUGUGUUGCCGUGCCGCCGGGCGCCCAGCACGCCCAGAUAUAAGGCUGUCCGCAGCUUGGCAGACUCACUCCUCUCCUGACUUGCCUUUCCACCAUGAAGAUCCUGCACCUCCUCUUGAUGGUCGUGGCGGCGGCGGUGGGCAGGGUGGUGGCCCAGCAGAAACCAGGCCUGGUGCUGGAUGACCCGUCUGACCUGCAGGACCCCUCGUGGGUGCAGCCGCCUCGCUUCCACUAUCGCGGCUUCCAUCGUCCUCAAGUUGGAGCCGGGUGGCCGUGACCACUCAUCUGCUUCUCCUUAGAUCCGGUCACGACGAACUGCUGGGCCCUUUGUCCGUCACCCACCCACCGCUCGGUUAACACCACAGUAUAUUAAACUCUGAAGAAACAGGAUCAAUACACUUCAAAAGUAAUUGCUGGAAUCAAUACUUAUACUGUCGGCCUUGCCAUCAACUUUUUGUAACUUCAAGAAUAUAAACCAAAUUCAGAG